UACGUAGGUGGCAAGCGUUGUCCGGAUUUAUUGGGUUUAAAGGGUGCGUAGGCGGUCCCAUAAGUCAGUGGUGAAAUACUCUAGCUUAACUAGAGGGGUGCCAUUGAUACUGCGGGACUUGAGUGGAGUUGAAGUGGGCGGAAUUGACGGUGUAGCGGUGAAAUGCUUAGAUAUCGUCAAGAACACCGAUAGUGAAGACAGCUCACUAAGCUCAAACUGACGCUGAGGCACGAAAAGUGUGGGGAGUCAAACAGG
rnacentral:rRNA from 1 species